UCUCUUUUCCUCUUCUCCUCCUCUCUUCUUCCUCUUCCAUCUUCUUCUCUUUCCCUCCAUUCUUCCAACUCCCUCCUGAUUUAAACACAACAAAGGAGGAAAGGAGAAGCCCUCCUCCGCCAGCGAAUCAAGGGAGGAGUCCCUCGCACGGGAGGACCCCCUGCGGCCGCGCCUGCGGCCUGUGCCCGCGGCUGAGCCGAGGCCGGCGGCUCCCGCACCAUCCGCGGCCACUGGCCGCGACGCCGGCGAUGGCCGCACACAGGGCUUACCGUGCUCCGGGAAUGGACUGCAACAAUCCUCGCUCCGGCUUCCCUAGUUCAAGGACCCCCUGAGCAAGAAGGAGGAGACCGGUGAGAUCCAUAAAUAGGAGAUUUUGGGGGCUUCUUAGGCGGUGGUCGCUGCGUUCAGCGGCACCGCUUCCGCGGUCGAGCAUCUAUCAUUCCGUCCGCCUGGCAGAAGGUCGUGGCGUCCAGAUGGCCUGCCAGCAUGGGUGGAAAGGCCCAUCUAGCGGCCCAGGCCCAAUAGUCACGACCGUUGCCACCAUCGAUAAUAGAAAAAGAUGGGCUUGUACAUGGAGAAGAUAAAAAGAAAAUUGAAGGUGAUCAUGAUGAAUUCAAGAAGAUGGAGGAGAAGCAUGGAUGGAAGAGGGUAGAGCGAAGAUUUGUAUUCCAUCGUUGAAGAAACUAUUGAUUCAUCCUAGAUCAAACUUCUUAUAUCAAUUAAAAGUCUCUCAAUCACAAACGUCAUACAAAGUCAGCAAUAAAAAAGUUAUUUUUAAGUCA